GACCGUAGCUCAAUGGUAGAGUGUUUGCCUUGAAUGCAGAAGGUCUGUGGUUUAGUUCCCAGGAUUCCCAGAUACA